GCGAUACCCGAAUGGGGAAACCCAGUGUGACUCGUCACACUAUCAUUAACUGAAUCCAUAGGUUAAUGAGGCGAACCGGGGGAACUGAAACAUCUAAGUACCCCGAGGAAAAGAAAUCAACCGAGAUUCCCCCAGUAGCGGCGAGCGAACGGGGAGGAGCCCAGAGCCUGAAUCAGCAUGUGUGUUAGUGGAAGCGUCUGGAAAGGCGCGCGAUACAGGGUGACAGCCCCGUACACAAAAGCGCAUGUGCUGUGAGCUCGAUGAGUAGGGCGGGACACGUGGUAUCCUGUCUGAAUAUGGGGGGACCAUCCUCCAAGGCUAAAUACUCCUGACUGACCGAUAGUGAACCAGUACCGUGAGGGAAAGGCGAAAAGAACCCCGGCGAGGGGAGUGAAAAAGAACCUGAAACCGU
rnacentral:rRNA from 1 species